UUUUUUUUUUUUAAACAUGGCAUGUUGUUAAUGUCUUGUAGCUGAGUCCACCAAAUAAUAUAAUAACACAAAUGAAAUAAAUUAUAUUAGACUUAUGGCAUUAACUUGAGUCCACGGCACUAUUUUUUUAUUUUGAUAUGCGAUAAAAGAAAAGGGAAGUAGUAAAAAAAAAGAGUGAAACAUAUCUUUUUUCUAGACUAAUUGAAAGAAAGUGAAAAAUAUAGUGUUUCACUUUGAGGAGCACCUAUCCUCUUAAUCAACAGGAAGGAUGACAGUGUUUAUUUGUGUAUAGACUAGAUACAACUAAAUAAAGUUAUUAUAAAGAGUAAAGAUUAUUUACUAAGAAUUGACAAAUUAGAUCACUUUUCUAUAAUUAAUUUAAUUUAAGAUCAGAAUAUCAUAAAAUUAGGAUAAAGGAGAUUAACAAAAUACCAUUUUAGAUCUAAAUAUAAGUCAUUUUUAGUAGAGCUGUUAAAAUGGGUAAUCCGGCUUGAUCCGGCCCAGUCCACUACGGGUUGGUCACUUAGUAAGUCAACUCAAUCCGGCUCAUUUAUUAGCGAGCAGAAAAAUCCGAACCCGGCUCGAUCCACCACGGGUUGGUAGGUAAAUUGGUUGAUUCACUAGCCCAUUUAAUUAGAGUUUUUUUUUUAAAUAAAAAAAUUACAAACUUUCUAUAUUCAUAUUUAAACAAAUUUUACUCCCAAAAAAUUAUGUUAAACUGAAGACAAUUCAAAAUAAUAAUAAAAAGUACAAUAUAAUCCAAAUGUCAUCCAAAAACAAAUGCAAAAAACAUAUAAAAAAACUUGCUCUUUGAAGAAUUUCAGUGAAGAAGUGAGAGUGACAACACUGUAAAUGAAAGCAAGUUCUGUGAGAGUGAUCUGUGAGAGUAGAUGUUACUUUUUUGGUAUACACAGUAAGUGAAGAGAGUAUUUUAUUUUUUAGGGUUUCAUAAAUAAAAUAAUAAAUUUAAAAAAUAAAAUUAGGUAGGUGGGUUGGCGGGCCAACCCGGCUCACCACGGGUUUAACCCGCAUGAGCCGGGUUUAAAUGAGCCGGUUGAAAUUCGACCUGCAUAAAAAAAGUUCAAUUUUUUCAAACCCAACCCAACCCGAACCCGUGGUGAGCCGAUUGACUCGCGAGUUGUGACCUAUUUUAACGGCUCUAAUUUUUAGUAUGGAGUAAUUAAUAUAUUAUUGCUAUAUUUACAGACUACAUAAAUACAAACUUUUAUUUUUAGUUGGAUAAGUUUAUAGUAGUAUUGAGAGAUGAUAUCUUUCUAUACUCUCUCAAUAUGGAGAAUAUGAAAACAACUUAGAGAGUUGUGUUUGGUGUGAUAUAGAAAAAACGUUAUAUGUAAAAUUAACAAAAUAUGAGCUUUGAAUGAAAAAAAAAGUAAAGUUUUUGGACAUGUAGUACCAACUAAAAGGAAUUUCGGUGGAUAGAAUAAUGAUGAAUAAAGAGAGUCGUAAAACAUGAAUACAAAUUCAAAGGUUUUUUUUUUUUUGGAUUAAAUGGAUACUAACCCAAUAAUCAAUAUUUCAUUUGGUGAUAUCAAUCUGAACAAAGUUUUAAUACGAAGAAAGAUAUGAUAAGUUCAUCCAUAUUAGUGACGUCAAAAAAGAAAGUUAUUGGAUUAGAUAUAUUAAAUUAUUAGAUUUUUUAUUAUUUUUUUGUAUAUAUUUUGAACUUAGUUCAUAUUUCUUUCAUUAUAAAUAAAGUAUUUUUUGUGUAUUUUCUAAAUAUGGGAGAUUAAUCUCAUACAUAACUUUUCAUUAUAUUAUGAAGUUGUAGGAAAACAUUAGAAGGAGGAUUAAAUAAAGUUUUUUUGGAAAAAUCUUCGUGUGUGACGCUUAAAAACUUUGGUAGUGGCUGGAUGAUUUACAUUGGUUGUUCAACACUUAAUUAAUAGAGUUUUGUUUGAAUCAAAGUGUUUCAAAGCUCAAUGUUUUUCAAGUUCUUAGGAAAUUUACUACAACGUUCAAGACAAAUAACUCUGAAGAAAAAUGUGUUUGGUAACAAAAGUGUUUAAUAAUGAUUGAUUUUUGUGAACAACUGCAACAUUGAUAAGACAGACAUUUAUGAAACUUAAGACAAUAUGCACUCGAUUGAUUUAUACCGGUUCACUUAACUGAGCUACGACUAGUUCUCCUAUAAAAACCUUUUAGAGGGUUUUGAUAAGGACAUAUUUUACCAUGAUUUCAGUAAUGAAUUAAGAGAAAAUAUCAACUUUUCCUUUACCUUUUACCUUGUAAGUCCUAGUUUUCUCCUAGUUUAGUAAGUGGUAUCGCUUGCCAAAGUUUUUCAACAAGUUUCACUAGAUUUUCAAUAAGGUUACACUUUGAGUUUUGACAUUACUCCUGGUUUUCACUAGACAAUUAUGGUAUCAACAUAAUCCACGACCUAGAAUUGAGUUUCACUCACUUUCGGCUGUGCAAUAUUCUUUACCACUCCUAGUGUCCUUAGACAAUUUCGAUAUCUUCAUGAUACGUUGUCUAGUUGAGUUUCACCCACUUUUGGUUGUGCAGUAUUCUUCACCAUUCCUGGUAUCCUUAGGCAAUUCAGGUAUCUUCUCGAUACUCUAUAUGUAGUUGAGUUUCACUCACUCUUGGUUUUCCUAGUCAAUCCUAGUAACACUUGCUACACUAACUAGAAUCGAGUAUCACCCACUUUUGGUUGUGAAGUAUUCUUCACCAUUCUGCAUAUCCCCAGACAAUCUUAGUAUCUUCUUGAUAUGAUGUCUAGUUGAGUUUCAUCCACUCCUGGUUUCCACUAGAUAAACCCUGUAUCAACCCGAUACACUAUCUAGCUAGUGUUUAACUCCAUCGAGUUAAUCAUUAAGCUUUUGUAUUCUUUUAUGAAUAUGCAAUCAAUCAAAUUGCCUACAACUCCUUCGACGAUUACUAUCACAAAAAGGAUGUGUUUACAAUAGAACUCAAUCUAGUAAACCUUGUAAGUUUUUCACUUUUCUUGCAAAUGUAAGCUUCUAACUCUAUAUAGCUCAGAGUGUGUUCUUAAGAAGUUUCAUUCUUUUACACGAGGAUGAUUGUUAUUGUAUGUUUCUUGUUUGCUUAUCCUCUCUUCCUUCUCAUCCAAUGAUCUUCUAUCCGUGGGCUUCAUGAGAAAGUGUAUGUUAGACGAUGCUUGUUUUGAUCCUUAAGUCUUCAUAGCCUUUUUCAUACGUAGCAGUCAUAAGUUGAAGUCUAUUUUUCAAAGCAGACAUGCUUUAUCAGUAGUUUAUCAAAAGUAGGUUGUACGAACUCUUCAACAUGACUUUUGAUGGUGAGAACAUUUUGUGAAUGUCUUCUUUGUCUCUAACGUCCACUUUUGACUCGUAUGUGAUAGGGCAAGUGGGAUACUUGACAUAGGCUAUUGCAAAGAGUACAAUAGAUAUGCAUGCAAGCAUAUAUGUCCUUUUUUUUCUUAUCAUUUUUGUUGUUUUGAAACAUUAUGAAUUAAAUGCGUGUUUAGAACAACUAUAAGCUUUUAAAAAUAUAUAUCAUUCAAGCAAGAUUUGAUCAUUUAAGCAUUUCUGUAUAGAUACCAAGCAGUUCAUAAGGGUUUCAUUGUUGGAUGAAAAUUUCGUUUUCUACAAGGUAUCGUUUGGCCUAUACAAGGUGUUUUAACAACACUUUGUUUAGUGAUCUUAAUUUGGUUCAAGAGUGUGUUUAGCGAGAUGUCUUUCAACACAUGUUUUUGGAACAAUAUUUAUAUCUUUUAGCAUGUUUACCAAAAAUAUCAUUUUGUAAGAUAUAGUGAAAACUCGUUUAGCAUUGUAUAAAAAUAUCUCAUUUAGCAAGACUCUCAUAAUAUAUUGACGUAUUUUGUGAGGAAAUCAUUUGGUAGUGCUUAUACUAAGAUAUUAGUGCAUUUACUAAAACUUUUCCUUAAACAUUCUAUUCUUCACAAAGAUUUUUCAUAAGAAUCCUUUUCUUUCAAUGAUAUAUUUUUCACAAAGAUUAUACUUAGUCAUAUGAUUAUUUUGCUCAUUGUUGUUUGUGAAUUCUCAAAGCAUAUGAGGAUGUUAGUCUUUCCCUCUCCUUAUAAUAUUGAUUAAUUAUGUGAUAAUAACGUUUUGUAUUAUAUUUCUUUUCAAGAGUGAAGUUUCGUCCUUUAGUCUUAAGGGUUAUGCAUAUGUUCUUUAGACGAUGUUGUGACGCUUGUUUUAUUUGACAGAUUUUUGUGCCUCUUGUAUAAUGAGAUCCACUUAGACACUUUUAUAACUAUCACUUUGUAAAUGUGUAUGUAUCUUUUAAGCACAAUGUUUUGACAAGCCUAUGUGGGUUUUUCUUACUAAUCAGAGGCUUCUAUUAGGGGAUAUAUUAUGUCUUUUGAGCUUAUCUUUUUUGCUAUAUUUUAUGAACUUUGCGUGGCCCAACAUAAUUCUUUUGAUUCACACUCUGAUUUGCCUUUACGCUUAGAUGAUUCUAUGUUGUCCAUUAUCCGAUGUUCAACCACUUUUAUUUAUGACUACUCGAGAGUGGAAUUUUGUUCUUUGCGAGAUAUAUCUAUGUCCUUUCCAUUUUCUUAGAUAAUUGAUUAUUUAUGAUUAUUUCGUUUAAUGUUGUUUGUUAAACCUCAAAACCAAAGAUGCUUCAGACGAUCCAGUCUCUACUCUAGACGAUCUUGUCUCAACAUAUUCAAUAUGGUAUCUAGAUCCUAAGGUUCUUUUGAAAAAUUUUCAUCGCCCCUGUCCACCACAGUCAUCGUCGUCUAUCGUCGUUGUGUAUCGUCGCUAUCGUCACCGAAGCUUCAGUUUCGUCUGGCGACCACAUGGUUCUACUUGGCUCGGCCAGGCAACCCCAAGACUAUUGAGAUUGUCGACAUCAAAGUCCAAAUGCACUCUCACGCGCUAAUUGAAUUUAUAAACAUCGUGUUUUCCAAGCCCGUGUGGCAGCGCAUGCGUCGCCUUCUCUAACAUUGAGCACCAUCAUUGUACUCAUUACAACUUCUUCUCUCUAGAUCUGUACUUGUCUUGAUUGGAAAAACUCGAACUUUUGUGGUUUUUCUCUCUCAUGUUUAUCCAUGACUUCUUUUGUUGUUGUCUAUUCUGGUCUCUCUUUUGUCACCAAUGCAUGUGACUCAUCCAUAUAUAUUAAUUAUGUCAAUAUGCAUUUGUCUAUUGAUAAGUUAGAUGACACUAACUAUGCGACUCGAGCAUCAGACAUUAAACUCUAACUUAAGAUUCAGGGGUAUGUUGAUCAUAUUACUCAAAAAGUGACAAAUAUUGCUUCUAUUGAGGCUCCUUGUUGAAUGAAAAUUGAUGUUGAAUUUUGCAUUGUUCUCAAGGGUACCCUUCACUCUUUAAAACAAGUUUUUCUUUUGUAUGACACAUGUUUUAGACUCUAGGAACUAGCCAAAGUAUUAUACACUAAUGAUACUCAACGUCUUUAUGGUGUUUGUCACGAUCUUUUCAAUUUGUUGCUUCAUGGCAUUAGGACUCUAUGGCUGAUUAUAUAUGGGUAAGUUUUAUGCCUUUUUUUUCAUGAAUUUAAUGAGUUAUUGUCUCAUGCCUCUACUCAUACCUAAGAAACAAAACAAUUCCAACACAAAGUUCUUCAUGGUAUUGGCAUUACACGGACUUGCUGAUAAAUAUUCUCAUGUUCGUGAUAAGCUUUUGGGUUCACCUGUUGUACCCACUUUAGGUUUUACUUGUUCCAUUCUUUUCGGUGUACCAAUUGCACCUAUUAAUGAUACACUUACUUCUGUUAAUGAUUCCUAUGCAUUAACAUCUUAACAUGAUGAUCACAAUGGCUCUUGCAAGCCCCAAAAAGGACGUCACCAGAUGUUUACAAUACUGGAGUUUGAGACAAGUGAUUGACACCAGAUGUGAGACUCAUGGUCUUUAUCAUCUUCAUCUUUCUACACAUGUUGGCACAAUUGUGGAAUCUAUUUUUCUUCUUCAUGCUCAUUUAGGUCAUCCCACUCUUGCUAAAUUAGAACAACUUGUUCCUAGGUUAUAUAAGUUAUCUAGUUUGGUGUGAGUCAUGUCAAUUAGGCAAGCAUAAUCGUAUGUCAAUUAGGCAAGCAUAGUCGUAGUUCCUUUACCUGUAGUAUUUCACAACAUGCUUCCUCCCUUUUUACCUUAGUUCACUUUGACAUUUAGGGACCUAAUUGUGUUAAGUCCAAUUCCAGGUGUACUUGGUUGUUUUUAAUGAAAAAACAUUCUAAAUUAUUUUAUAUAUUUCUACUUUUUUAAUGAAAUUAAAACUCAAUUUGGUGUUUCUUUUCAAGCUUUGCAAAAUGAUAAUGUCCAUGAAUAUCUUUCCUUUUCUUUUAAACAAUGUAUGGCUUCUCAUGGCAUUCUCCAUCUAUAUGCUUAUAUACCUUAACAAAAUAGGGUGAUUGAGCGUAAAAAUAGACAUUUUAUUUAAACAACUCAUACUCUUUUAAUUUGUGGGAAAGUUCCUCAAUAUUUUUGGAGUAAUGUUAUUCUUACUGCAUGUUAUCUCAUUAGUUGCAUGCCUUCUUUACUUUUAGAUGAUAAAAUACCUCAUUCUAUUUUAUUCUUCAUGAACCUCUUCAUCAUUUACCUCUAAAUUUUUUUGGAUCUACAUGUUUUAUUCAUAACUUUAGUCCUAGUGUUGAUAAGUUAUCUCCUCGAUCACACAAAUGUGUUUUUUUAGGAUUUACUAGACCACAAAAAGGAUACAAGUGUUUUUCUUCUUUUAACCACUAUUUUGUUUUUGCAGAUGUCACCUAUAAGUCUUCUUAUUACUUUAAAGGUAAUUCUUCUUUUUACAUAUCUCUAUCUAAUACAGUCGGUAUUCCUAAUACAAUUCAUAUUGCUGAUCUUUGUGCUCCUCAAGUUAUGUCUAGUUCACUGUUAGAUUCUUCUCCACCACCAUUACAAAUUUAUAGUCACAAACAUUGUCUUCAAAAACCACCAAAUGAAUCAAUUCAAGUGUCAACUAUUGUGUCUCCUUCAACUCUAACAACUGAGUCUGACCUCCCAAUUACCCUUUGUAAAGUUAUACCUUUUACCCAUAAUCUCUCCCAAUUACCCUCCGCGGUAAUGCUUGUAGAUGUUUACUCAGUGCAUUGAUGUGUUUUAAAUGGAUUUUUUUUUCAAAAUGCUUAAGUUUGGAACUUAACUAAUUACAUUAAUUUCUUAAUCAGUUAAAUUCUGCUUUAUAUGAAAAUAUUUUUCGUAAAUAACCAUAACUGUCACAACAGUCAUAUUUUUAAAUACUGUGACAUAUAUGUUUUGGUUAAUCGAUUACAAGCGCCACUUAAUCUAUUAAAUGCUUAAAAUGUAAAUUUGUUAAUACUGAAGAAAUUGCUUAACCGAUUACAUUAUUUGCGUAAUCGAUUAAAAUGCGUCAGAAUUGAGAAAAUCUAUAAAUAAAUGCAUUACUCUCUCUAUUCAACAACUUUUGUGAUUCAUAACUUUCAUAUCUGAUUUGUUUGUUAAGAUAUUAUUGUAGGAGUGUCCUGAUUGCUUCAAGAAUCACGAUUGUCAUAUUUGGAAAUUCAUAAAGAUUCUUUGAAGAACUUUGAGCUUCAACACUUUCUGCACAUCAAGGUGUAUCUUACCAUAUAAGAGUUAUCUACAAUCAAGGUUGAUUGUGUUCCCUGUUGUUGUGGCCAGGAAGAGAACUUAGAGAAGUUCUAGUGACUUAAAGACAGGUAUCUCUAAGGGUUGACAGAAAGAGGUUGUUCUUCUGGGUUACUAUAUUGGAUUUGAAGUUAGAGAGGAGAGUGCAUUGAGAAGGUUGUCUCUGUAUGUCUUGCUUGUAAGAACUCAAUUAAUAUAGUGGAUUCCUUUAAAUCUAAGGUUGAUUGAAAAAAGACUGGAUGUAGGCAGGUUGACUGAACUAGUAUAAAUUGUGGUGUUAAUCUCUCUUUCCCUACACUUUUACUUUGUUCUUAUUGUUUGUUGAUUGCAUUCCAAACAAUCUCAAAAGAUUUUAAAAGAACAAUUUUUUAUAAAGGGAACCAAUUCACCCCCUCUUUGUUGAGACACUUGGCCUAUUUUUUCUUACAAUUGGCAUUUUUCUCAUGACAUUCCUAGAUCCUUCCUACCUUAAAAUAAUCACUUUUUUCUCAACAACAUCAUUUUUGAAGAUGUCACUCGCUCUAAAUGGACUUCAAACCCACUCAAACAUCCAAAAAUUCUUCAAAAGUUGAUCCUAAAAUACAAGAUAUUAUGACCUCACCAGUAAAUGAUACCAUUGUUGUCUCUCAAACAAUAACUAAUGAAAGUAGUGACACAAGAAAUAGUGAAAAUGGUUCCCGGCUUUUACUCCACUCCAAAAAUAGAAAUUGAAACCUCUUUAACCAGGUGACAUCCAUUGUCAAUUAUUGAAUCGUUUCCAUCUAUUUGACAUUUCACAUUUUUUAACAUUAUAACCCAUUGAGAUAUAAAUUCCAAGGUCAAAAAUGUUCUAAACCCUCAAUACUUCUUCUUAACCUCCUUAAAUAAAAGGAGUCAAUGUAUAAACUAAAUAAAUGGAUUCAAUAAAUAAAUUUUUCUUUUUUUCACUUCUAGACUCCAUGUUGCUCCUUGAAUUCCUUAGGCUUAGGGAAACUAAUAUAUACAAAUAAACUAAAUACACUCAAGUCAAAUAAAUAAAUUUUUAUAUUUUAAGACUUCAUGUUGCUUUUUAAACUCUUCAAACUUGAAGGAUCAAUUGAGGAUUAAUUCAAAUCCUAAAAGGCUAAAAAUAUUAGUUGUUAACAAAUAUUACACGAAUAAUGGAACUAUCACGCUUUAAUCAUGAAACCUAGAUAAGAAUAAGAUCCAAAUGUUUUGAGAAGUACAAAUCUAUUACCACUAAUAUAAAUAAAUGGUAAUCACACGGUAGACUUCAUUCAUUCAUUACGUUUGUAUUAGUGCAUUUAAGUUAAAGAUCAUCUCCUUAUACAUCUCAUUAAAAAGGCAAGGAAGAGCUUUUGUGGAAAUGAUCUCAACAUUUAUAAGAACAAGUUGCAUAGUCAAAGCAAAAUAUAACAAAUAAAAAAAUUAUUUAUUAUUAUCCAUCCAAAGUAGUGAAAAAUAAUCCAAAUAUAAUUAUUUAACAAGAUUUUCUGGUAAAAAGUUGAAAAAGGAGUUAUCAAAGUUAUAGUAUAUUUACUUCAAUAUUUGACCAACAGAGAGAAGGAAACUAUGAAUCCCAAACUCUCACUCACUCCUAAGGGAGGAAAUGAAAUGGGUUGAUACAAGCUAAAACUCAGAGUGGUAGUGAACAAAAAUUUCAAAUACCCCUCAUAUGCAAAACUAAAUUGGUGACAAUUUUUAUCUUCAAUUAAAUUAGGAAACCAUAAGCAAUUAUGAGUAAGAGAUAAUUAUAAGUGGGGCAUAAAUAAAUUAUGCACCAUCUGUUAACAAAAAACAACCAUCCACUCCAUUCACAAAGGAGACCACCAUUUUGCAUUUUUACUUCUUAAUACAUAUAACAUAAGACAUUGUAAUUGAAAAUAUAAACUCUGCAAUGCAAACAAACUUAUAUAUUAAAAAGCAAUCAAACAACCUCCUUUUUUCUUUUUAUUUCUCUUUUCAUCUUUCAUUUAUUCACUCCAUCUCUAAUGAUAAUAUUACUUUUCUUGCAUAAGCAAUUCUAUGAAAAUACAAAAAAAGUGACUUAUAAUAUUAGUUUAACAUUUACUUCUUCUAAAGUAAAAGUAUUUUCCAACACAUUAUUUCAUAAUAACGUAGAGUUGUGUGAGGAUAUAAGAAUUUUGCUCAAAGGUGGGGAAGGGUUAAAUUGGAUCACAUGUUUCUCCUUUAAUAUAAGCACAUUCAGAUGCCAACAGAAUCCAAAACGUAUAAAUGACAUUCAAAAUUACAAGCAUACCACACGAUUUUAAUUGUCAUGAAAGUAAUAUAUCGUCCAAAUACAUGGCGCCUCCAUGUCUGAAACCUGAUAUACUUAUAUCAGCAGAUCUUGAACUCAACAAGAAUCCUUGAUAUCUUCUACAUAUGUUAAUAGGAGAUAACUCCGUGUAAUCAUUUCGUCCUCUUAAUAAUGUGGACUCCACUGUCGGUAUCCACAAUGUCACUAAGUUCACCAACUUUAAGAGCAAGGGUUGCCUCUUCAAAAGGCUUCUGCAUCUGGCCACGACCGAAAGGACCUGCACCCACCAAAGUUAUUUCACUAAGAUAUGAAUAUCAUGACUGAAUCUAGAUCCCCAAUACAUUGUGACGAGGGUGAGUUUGAUCCUGCAUCUAAAGGUCUACGUUACAUUUUUGAAAGAUUAACAACAAAGAUAAACAACUGUUAGUGACACGUCCACUGCCCCGAACACCCAAUAAGUAAAAAUGAAUAACUUACAAGAUUAAAUUGAUAUGGAGAAAAUUCCAUAUAAAAGAUGAAAGAAAACACAAACGUGAUGUUUAUGUUAAAGCUCACGAAAGGGUGUAAGAUGUCACAAGUGAGCAUUGGUGAGAUAUGUGAAUUCUUAUGAAACACAACAAGAAAUGUCAUUGAAAGUUCAGAUUUAUGUUCUGUUAAUUCGAAACACAAAGAAACAAGAGUCAUCGGCAGUGUCGGUGCCACUAAAUGAGGCAGGCGUGUAAAGUGAGACAGUUUGAAUAUAAUACAUAAUGCAUGUAACCUAUCCAACUUCAACUUAGCAACUAUUACAUCCUUGAAAUUUUUCACUUUGAGCACUAUUUCACCUUAGAGAUAUUAGAUCCAGCAUCAACCACCCCAAAUGUGCUUAAAGUGAAAGAGUACAAGGAUGUACUUGUUGCUAAGUUGAAGUUGGGCAGGUUUACAUGUAUUAUGUAUUAUUCAAACUAACUGUGUAUGCUCUUUUAUUAUCUCACUUUACAUGCCCGGGUCAUUUAGUGGCACCAAAUCUACUGAUUUAAUAAAUAAUAUAAUUAGAAGACCAACUGGCAACUGAAUCCAUCAAAGGACAAAAGUUAGAUGCAACUCCAUAAGUUCUUCUGGUGCAAUUCUCUAAUCAGAAACAGAGUUUCAUCACAUUAAUCCACAUUGGCACUUAAUGAAAACUUUUAUCAUACGGAUUAUCAGAGACUAAAACUCAAAUUCUGAUUUAGAAACAUGACCAAAAGCACCUAUGGAACUACAUCUAACUUUUGCUCAUCCAAUUAAGCCCGUAAAUUUUGUUCUGUUGUGUUCACAGUACACUAUAACAAGAACUCCUCAGGUAACUAAACGCAGCUCCACAAGUCAGGCCACCUGCGCAAUACUUGGGAACUAUGAAGCCUGGAUAAUGCCUAUGGCAUGGGAUACAAUAAAAUACGACAAGAAUAUGAGAACAAGACAAAAUUUUGAAACGUUAUGGAUACGUUAAUAAAAACGUACAAAAUAUGAAACGUUAUGGAUACGUUAAUAAAAACGUACAAAAUAUUUUAUAUAGAUUCUGAAUAUUGGCAAAGAAAUUGACAAUGAUUCUCUCAUUAAUUAAUAACUAUAAUGAUCACAAUUUACAAAAAGGAUAUUUGUGAUCAAAACAAAAAACAUGAUAAGUAAUGGGUAAUAAAAAACAUUAUUUGUAGACCUCAAAAAUAGCCUACAAUGUACAAGUAUUGUUGCUAAAUUACUAUUUAAUGCUAAUAAUAUCAUUAUCCUAGCCUCCAUUACCAUCACCCCGGAAACGCACAGCUUCUAAGUUUGAUUAAUCAAGAAACAAUUCUGCCAAUUCAUUUCGCUCAGCACCAUNAUAACAUGAACUUAUCUCCACUAUUGUCCCACAAACCUUGCCUCAAUAUANNNNNNNNNNNNNNNNNNNNNNNNNNNNNNNNNNNNNNNNNNNNNNNNNNNNNNNNNNNNNNNNNNNNNNNNNNNNNNNNNNNNNNNNNNNNNNNNNNNNNNNNNNNNNNNNNNNNNNNNNNNNNNNNNNNNNNNNNNNNNNNNNNNNNNNNNNNNNNNNNNNNNNNNNNNNNNNNNNNNNNNNNNNNNNNNNNNNNNNNNNNNNNNNNNNNNNNNNNNNNNNNNNNNNNNNNNNNNNNNNNNNNNNNNNNNNNNNNNNNNNNNNNNNNNNNNNNNNNNNNNNNNNNNNNNNNNNNNNNNNNNNNNNNNNNNNNNNNNNNNNNNNNNNNNNNNNNNNNNNNNNNNNNNNNNNNNNNNNNNNNNNNNNNNNNNNNNNNNNNNNNNNNNNNNNNNNNNNNNNNNNNNNNNNNNNNNNNNAAAAGAGGAUAUUAUACUUUUUCCGACACAUGAUUGAGUACUGGAGAGACAUACUUCCCCAUUUUUUAACUGGGCCUCACAGUUUGGUAAUAAAAAACAGGACUAAGAAAAGAAAUCAAGAAGUCACUUAAAGACAAGUUUACUUCGAUCCUGCACUGAGAUUUAAUAGUAACCGAUCUCACUUGACCAACCGUUUCUGAUGACGAAAAAUAUUUAACUCAGUGCCCAAUUGACCCAAAAUUUGGAUCACCACCACCGACACCUCAGAUACAUACAAUUUAUAGAUUGAGACAAUUUUGAGUUACCAAGAUUCGUCCUCAGAAUACCGAACGCUCAAAUCCGUACACAAUAAAUUCAAAUGCACUUUAAUAUUUUUACUUUUAUGUAAAAAAUAUUAUCAUUAAUAUGGAGAUAGUUUGUUCAGAACUGACCAAGAUCGCCGCCGCGUUUGGCGGAGCCGCAAUCGGAGAACCGAGACGCGACGUCCUCGAAGGUUGCCUUGCCCGAGACGAUGUCAUCGCGAAGGGCCUUGAGCUGAGAAACCGCAGCUUCUCUUGUGGUGUUCUUGAUUAUGCGUCCUUCUGGAUCCUUCCACGACGCCUUCCUUCUAGAACCUUCAUGCUUUAUUAGUAUGUGCGAAGCCCUAAUCUCACCGCCAACUUUUGACGACGACAUCUUCACCUUCUUCUUCCUGUUUUCCUUCUCCGAUCGAUCCGCCGCUGAGGUGGACGCCUUCUUUCUCUUCCGAUCCGACUCAAUCUUCGCCGCUCCGGUCACCCUAGCUCCAGAGAGAGAACGCAACUAUGCGCGGUGAAAGCUUCAGGCUCCGGUAUUUAUAGAGUGGUCCUAAAACAAGGGUCACUCAGAUGUUGUGGUCAUCUUAGUCGUCCGUUUGAGAUUCAUCGUACGGGUCAGAUUCAUUAUCGCUAUUUUGUUGUUCAAAUAACGGAAUGCCCUAACACUGUUUGUGCCGCGUGUCUCCAUCUAAUUGGCCUUUGCUACUACUUAAUGAUGAUUAUGCUGUUUUUCUCAUAAAUACAUAUAAAUGCACAACGGAAUUCCAACGUCAUUUAGAACUAUUCAAUGUAUUGCACUGACAACGAUAACGCUCUCAAACAAAUAAUAGACACAAAGUAGAGAAGCAAGCAGCAGUUUGGCCAGUCAUUACAUGUACUUUGCAAAAAAAAUAAAAUAAAAAAUAAAUAAAUAAUAAAUAAUUACUACUAACGAAUUAGAAGAAACAAAGAUAUAAUUGAUUACUCUCUAUUUUAAUAGCUGUUAAUGCAAAUUUGUAUAAAAUAUUUAUAAUUUCAUCAUAAUAAAGUAAUUAAAUUUACAAAAUUUAAUAUAAUAAAUAAAAUAAUUAAAAUUUUAAUAUUUUGUGGUAACUUAUCAUAAUAUAUAUUUUAAAUAUAACAUUUAUUAAUAAAUUUUUAUUUUAAUUUAAAAUUGAUUUACCUUUAAUAUUUUUGUUUUUAUUCAUUAGAAUGAAAUAAAUAAUUAAUAUAAUAUAGUUAAAAUGAAAUAAAAAAUUAAAAAACUAUUUUUUCAAUCACAUGUACUAUAAAUUUUUGGGUUAAAUAUGUUUUUAUUCCUUGAAGUUUCACUUAUUUUUGAUGUUAGACCUUGUAUGAAACAUUGAUGGCAUUUGGUCCUUCUAGUAUGAAAACAUAUAUGUUUAGUCUCUAAUUUUAAACGACGUUAAUUUUUUGAUGAGGUGGCUAAUGACACGGUCACGUCUCUUACCAGGUUAUUUUUGGUGAGAAACCCUAACCAUCUCAACAUUUUCCUCUGCCUCGAGUCAAACAGAGACCCAAGGCCUCCUUGGAGCGCCGCCUGCCACCGUUUCCCUCCGACACCCACUGUGUCAUCCAACCGGCCUCGCGACGGACUCUCUUCUUUGCACACAAUCAGGGAUACCCUCUCCCUCCGCCAAUGACCUUCCCAACUCUGCCGGCAGCCGCGAGCCGUUCCAGCCUCCAAGAUGGCCACCACAACGUCGGCCGCUACAGAAACGCCCCCAAGCACGUCUAUCAUCACCGCAAACGCCACCCAGACCACCGUGCUACAGCCUCUGGUUUAUCGCCGCUGGAGCGAGCCCAACCGUCUCGAACCAGGGCACCACCGUCGCCACCAGUCAUGGCCCAGGGUCGUUGCCGAUUACCCUUCGUCCUCCUCUACCGCCACGACCAAAUCCACCUCUACCUCCAAAAUCUCAUCGUCACAGGCACCACCUCUAUGUGAUGGGCUCUCUGUGCGAGUUCUUGAUUCAAUAAUAACAAAACCCAAAACCUCCAAAAUUUCCCCUUUCGAUCUUAGUUUCUUUAUUGGUUGUUGAAUUUGAUUUUGUAUGGUUUUGUAUGGUUGUUGAAUUUGAAUUUACCUUUUUGUCUGAUGGGGUAAUAAAGCAGAGAGUGGAGAUUCAAGGUCAUUGCAAAUUGGCAUGAGUUUCAAUCGAACAGCUUCUUUCUCGCGCAGAAAAUCUUGCACAAGAAAUAACAAGCUUUCAGUGUCAGUCUCACAUAAAACCUCCAUUAAUCAACUUUGCAAUGCAUUUCUAACUUUUAUUACUUUGUUCUGCUUCAGUGUAUGAGAAACUUCGAGCACUUAUUGUGGUUUCGGGGUACUUUACUGAUGAAAAGAACUUCAAGGUUAAUCAAACUCUGAAUUUACAUCUUUUAUUUUAUCUUUUGUGCAAUUAAAACUGAAAUUGAAGAAGCUUUGUAUAAAUAUGAUUGACUGUGAUAGAGAGAAGUUUUGAUUUGCACGGAAUCUAUGAAGCUGUUAGAGAGUUUGCUCUUUUUCUUCGAUUUUAAUGCUUCCCGGCUGCCACUCAAAGCUUUGCACUUUCCAGGUUGGUUUCGCCGACCCAUCGCCGAACGGUAUCGCCGGUGACACCUUUGGUUGAUCGGCAGCUCGCGGUGGCUGGCUUAUGAUGAAGGGGAGAUCACGUCACUUUUCCCCAAUCUCAAAAACGAAUUUGCAAAACCAAAAACGAGUAAUUCAAAUGUUAAAAAAAAAACAUAUGUGGCAGAGAGUGCACAGUGAGACGUGGCAAAUGCCAUAUAUGUUUCCAUACUAGGAAGACCAAAUGCCAUCAAUGUUUCAUGUAGGACUAAAACCAAAAAUCAAUGAAACUUCAGGACUAAAUAUUUAACCCUAAAUUUUUUAUUCAAAUCCAUUUACUUUUUCUUAAUUCAAACAACUUCAAAUUUUAUUCUCAUUCUAUUCUUUUUCACUCUUUCAAAUUCAUCGCUCAAUCCAAGCAAAAAUGAUUGAUUAUAAAUAAUUUUACUUCUACAUCAUUAUUAUGCUUGUGGUAAUUGAUUUUAAAAAAAAAAAUGUUAAAAAUUUAUGCAAAUAUAAAGAUUUGUAAUUUUUCUAAUAUAUGAAUUAGAUAUAAUUAUAUUUAGUUUUAUUCAAUUUUUUCUAAUUGUUGGUAAAUAUCAUUAAUUAUUAUCGUGUUUUUGUUUUUUGUUUUGGAAGGAGUAUGACUGGUUUGAAGGAUUUGAAAAUGGUAUCAAUAGAAAACUUACUGAUUUCUCUUUUUACUUUUGUUGGAAAAAUUAGGAUCAAUGAUGCAUUGUAGGUUUUUACUUUUAAAACGUGACUUAUAUUAUCGUGGUGAUGAUGUAACAAAUAUACAAAAAGUUGGUUUUUCAAGAAGUCAAUAGAAAAGAUAGAAAGACUUUAUUUAUCAAUCAUCGUAACAUAAAUGAAUAUGCCUUAGAAAUUAUAUUACAUAUAAAUAUGCAUGUUAUUUUUAGGAUAAUGAUACCGGGACAACAUUUUAUUUUACAAUAUUUGAAAAUUAUUUACAUAUUAUUUUGUGAUUGGUCUAUGAUGGUGUUUAUGAUUAUUAUUAUUGAUUGUAGAGUAAUUUUGAACCAAUAACAAAAUGAUACGUAAAUCAUAUUUAAAUGUUAUCAAAAAAUGUUGUCUAAGUAUCAUUAUCUAUAUUUUUACGGACUUGUUGAUAAGAUAAAGAAGGUAAAGUUGUAGACACUUAAAAUGUGAUAUAAGUUGUUACAUAUGAAUGAUAAAAAAACGUAACUAAGCAUUCUAUUCAACAUAAGGCUUAAUGCAUCUCUAAACCAAUAUCAUGUAAAUCAAGUUGGCUUGAUGCUGUGAUGAUGGAGCAUGCAUUUGCACGUGGGAACAAUACAUAUAUAAAAUCAAAGUUUCAUUUCUUUAAAAUUAAGCAAAUAAAAGUUUAACAACAAGCAGAAAUACUAAAGAGUAUCAAAUUAAAUGAAUUAAAAAAAUAAGUUAGAAUUGGUUUAUUUUGAGAAUUUGAAAUAUGAGGGAGAAUUGUAAUUAUUAAAAUUCUAUUUGUUGUUUUAUAAGACAGUUACAAAUUUAGGUGGGAAGAACUACCUUUUAUAAAACAUGCGUAAAUGCAAAGACUUAAAACUUUUAUCGAACAAUAAAAUAUAUACAAUUUUAUUUAGUUUCAUCUUUUGUUAAUUAGUGCUAAUUACUAAAAAUGUUUGGAAACUUUAACAAUAUUGUAUGGUCAUAUGGCCAUAGAGUAGGAUCGACCGGAUGAGGUCAUCAAGAAGGGACAAACAGUCAAUAGCUUGAUGUUUACUAUCAUGUAUCGUAUGAUUCGAAUAAGCAUCAUAUUCGUUAUUCGGUCAUGGAAGAUGGGAGAUCGAACGGACGACCUCUAAUGAUAAUCAUUCCUAAAAAUCAAUUCUAAUAAAGAUUACUGGUACCAAGAAGGGAGGUCAGCGGAAUAGGUUGAUCUCUGCCAACGUCAUAUGAUUCAAAUAAGUAGCAUACUCGUCGUUCGAUCAUGGAAGAUGAGAGACUGAACUGACGACCUUCAGCGUCCCUAAAAAUCAAUUCUAUUCAAGAUUACUAGUAAGCAUUAUUUAAUAGGUAAUGGACCUUCAGCGUCCCUAAAAAUCAAUUCUAUUCAAGAUUACUAGUAAGCAUUACUUAAUAGGUAAUGGAUCAUCAUUGGACCGUGAUUAAGGUUUCAUUAAUCUUAGACUCAUCUUGAAACAUAUGAAUAUAGGUAAAGGUAAGUGAUUGUAUUUAUUGCGAAUCUAAGACUUUGUUGUGAUUUUUGAUCGGAUUAAUCACUUACUUGAGCCUUUGACAAAUACACCUAGACAGUUUUGAGUGCAACCAAGAAAAGAUCUUGAUCAAGAACAUUCAAAAUUAUCUAAGAUGACUUGGAGUAAAAAUGUGAAAGAGUAUAAAAAAGUGUUUUGUGGAAGAUUCUCGGCUCUACACUCAAAAUAUCAAUCAUUUUCUUUGUCUAGAGUUGCUUUCUUAGCCAAAUGGUCGAUUCAUGUUGUAAGAGGUUGGAAAAGUGUUUCUCUCAUUCUAAUAGGAAAAUUUGUCUUUUUCUAUGUUCUGCUUAAAUUUUUUAUUAAUGAUUUUAAAAUAAUUGAAUACGUAUUUAAUUUUUUAUAAUUUUCAGUAUAUUUAUUAAAGAGAAAAAAAACUAAUACUUACAUUUGAUCAAUUAACUGUUAAUAUGCAGUUAAAAAUCUAAAUUUAGAAUACGUGAGUAAAAUAAAAAUAAUUGUAAGAUUAAUUACAUACUACUCUUAAUUUUUCCUUUCUGAUAAUAAACAUAAAUAACAGUCAUUAAAGACUAAAUAUAUGAGUAAUUAAUUUAAUCAUUAACAAAGUUUAAGUUAUUCUUAUGAAAUGCAUUAUAUUAAUAAUAAUGAACUGGGAUAUUAGAAAUUAGAUUAUAUUAAUAAUAACGGAUUAGGAAUAUUCUUGCUCGAAUAGAGAUGUAUUGGUUUAAAGAACGUAGAAAAUUUUGGGUUGGCUAUGAAAAUAGAAAUACAAAAAUGUAAAUAUUAAAAGAUAUGAUUGAGGAAAUUUCUCAAUAAUCAUUUUACAGAAGAGAACAGACUGUUCUAAAAUUAGCUAAUUCAUAUGGAGAAAUUUCCUUCCAUCAAUCACGUUGUUUAGAAUAGAAUAAAAUAAUUUAACUAGAAACUUCACUGAAAGUCCUAAAAUGCCCCACCCCCUCAAAUGCACUACAAGAGAGAAGAACAAACGGUGGUGGCAAAGCAACCAUCCAAACGUGUGUACAGAUUUAUCAGUGCAUAAUAGAUUAUGUUCACUAAUUACUUGCUUACAAUUCAUAAAAAUAUUCUUUGAGAAUAUUAUGAUUCUCAUUGAGAAGCGCAUGAAAUAAUCUAGAGCUUAUAAAAAAAAUUAUAAGAUUCUAAAGUAGGCACGAACACAAUCGGCUACACUUCCCCUUGACUAAUACCAAGCUGAAAAUUACUAGUUUCUCUCUUGUCCUCAUAAUAAAAGAGAAGAAAAAUACAAAGUUUUUUUUGAAGAUGGAGGAGAGUAAAGACUUUACAAGUACAAUAAUCACAACACAAUGGUUUAAUCAGCAAUCACCCUCUUUUUUACUUCUAGCCCUGCAACUGAUACAAGCUAUUCAACAAACCUAUAAGUAAUACUGAAGCGAAGCGAAGCAAAGCGAGUUAGUUGGAUAACGAAAUGUCGACAAUCUGAGCAACCUCCCACCAGGCCAACUACAAAUCUCUCAAAAUUGGCCAACCCCUUUUAAUAAUAUCAUUGAUCUUGGCAUCAAUACGCUUUUGGAUAUCUGGAGGGCAAAGCUCUGCUACAUAUCCAUUCAAUUUCGUUGCCAGGCUAGACCUCUCAAGCUCCUCGGCAGGAAGGUUGCCAAUUAACUGAAGAAGAAUGGUAUUUUGCUUGAGUUCAAAUUUCUGCAUAUUAAGAACAAAACAAGUAAUAUCAGUUAUUUGAUUUAAUCUAGUGGGACAUAUCUUUGAAAGGCAAUACUAUAGUUUUCAACUGUUACAGAAAUUUGUUUUAGGUAAAAUUGUAUAAUGUUUCAUCCAAUGUAACAUCAAUCCAAGACUAUGCAUGUAUGACCAUUGAAAUGCGAACAACUUCCAUUCAAUGCCCAUACAACAGGUAUCUGGCAAUUUCCAGCAGUAUUUUUUCCCAAAAUAACAACUCUACCAAAUAAAUAACUAUUGCAAUGUACAAACGAUAAAAUAAUCCUUUUAUUUGUUGCUAAUCCUUUUAUAAAGCUGGUUUUUUAGUUAUCUAGAAGGGUGGUUGUCCCCUAUUCCCUCUUCUUCUUUCUCUUGCACACUACCUUUUUUUUGUAUAAACACAAUAUAAGACCAACAAGUAGCAAGAGACUCACAGGUACCAUCCUGCUGUCUCUUCCGCUCACCAUCUGUGCUCCGUCUGCUAUCAGGAUAUCACCAAUGAGAUUAGGGUCGUGUGCUUCAAUGAGCACGACAAAACCCAACUGGUUGUGUGGCCAGAAUCACAACCACACUUCCUCAUGCGCCACGUUCUUCAGGUGCCAUGUUUGAUGUGUGAAGCCACACACUGCCAUCCCGUUGUUGGAACACCAGUGCAUCUGCCCAGAAAUGUUUGUUGGCGUAGUCUAGUUCCUUAUCUGUUCUCACCUCCAUUUUUCCUCUACUAAAAAGAAGUACAUCUAGCCCUCCUCUGAAAAAAAAUGUGCUUUCUUCCUUUUUCACAAAACGGCUUCCACAUAUUGUCUAUCUUUCAAACUCCCACCAUUACAACAAAGAAACUACAAAUUACCUAUCAUGGGUUUUUUUUGUGGAACUUUGGUUCUUAGGUCAAGGUUACCAUGAUCUUGAGGCGCUUCUGAUCACAUAGUUGGUAAUGCUUCUUUACUUUCUUCCAUGUCAUCCACCCCUUAAAUUUCCUCAUCUUUACCUUGGCAGAUUAAGGUAUAGAAUUGCUUUCAAAAGAUUUGGUUAAGUUUCUCUUUACCACCUCAGAGUCUAAUUUCGUUUUAUUUAUCCCUAACCGUCCAUUCAACCUAAUCACUGAGUAAAACUUGACAGGGCUUAAAUUGCUGAAUAUCAUUUAAUGUUGAUUCUUAUCAUUCAGGAAAAAAGUUAUGGCUAAGAUGAUUGGAAGAAUAUAUGAGCCUCCGGGCCUCUAUUAUUGUGAAACAGUCAAUUGUAUUUUGCACUGUCGUUUUGUCUCCUAAGAUUGUACAUGAUCGGUUGAGCCAUCUAAGUUUGUCAAAAUUAAGACUUUUUGGUUCAAAGUCUUAAAAAAUUAAAAGUGUUAGACCGUGAAUCAUGAGUCAGACAAACAUGUUAGGUCUUAUUUCCCAAACAAACUUAAAAAAGACGAAAUUUGAUUUUUACUACCAUUCACUCAAAUUAGUGUUGUCGAACAUCAAUUGUAAAUAAACAAUUUUGGAAACGAAACCUGGUGCUCUGACUCUGCAGGGUAAAAUGUUCCAAGUUGUAGAAUUUGAGUAGUCACAAUGCUGCUUCUUGACCUGGUUUGCUCCUGCUCUUUGCUGACAGCAGCCAUUCUUGCUUCUUCAGUUCCAUUGACAAAUAUAAUAGAUCUGCAAGAAUACAAGUUUUUGUUAAGUAUAUAACACUCAGCAAGACGCUGAAUAUGGGGAGGAUCACAGAAAUGGUGGUUGAGAUCAGGAUUUCUCCUACCUGUAUUGUUUACCCACAUCAGGACCUUGGCCAUACACUUGCCUAGGAUCAUGGCUUGACCAAAAGAUAUCCAGUAGUUCCCUAAAAGUAAUCAGCUGCGGAUCAUACUCAACCUGCAUUGCAAUAGCACCUCAUAAUCGCUAAUUUAAUUAAGAUCGUCCAACAUCAACUCAUCAUAAUGAUAAAUUCAUGCAGUUAUAUCUGAUAUUAAGAAAAUAUAAGAAAAUUUCUCCAUUUGUUCAAUAUUAAGAAAUAUUAUCAAUAUAUAGUAGUCUACACGAAUUCCAGAAUCAAGACAACCAUGACAUGAUAAAGCAUGCAAUAAUACUAUCUGUACCAGAUCUAUAGAUAAAAAGUUUUCUUUCAUGAACAAUGAAUGAACAUAUGAUUCCAAAUUAUUCAAUAAAUAUCACAGUCCCUGCCAUCCAAACUUCAAGUCAAAUGAUCACGAGUUCCUCCAAAACUUGACAGUUUCAUGUUUUAUAAAAUAAUAAGGAUCUAUAUACAAAUCAAACAAAAUUAUGGAAGACAUAGUCCACCCAUGGCUUUUGGGGCUUACAGACAUAAAAGAACACAAAAUUUCAUUCAGUCCUGGGUACAUUUGUUUGACACAGACUAACCUCUAGAACUCUUUAUGCGACCUUUGCCACAUGUGAGGACUUAGCAUUUCUUUGGAAAUAGAAGACCUUGAGCUGUUAUUGAAUUUGAUUGGAUUCUAUAGAUGUUUCAUGAUUUCAACUCUAGCUAACUAACUCGGAUACGAUCACAAUCUAGGAACAAGAAUCAUACAAUACAUAAGGGUCAAAAUAAAAAACACAGAACAACUACUUAACAAUCCUAACAACCAGACAGAGCGCCAAAAUCAAAAGCACACCAAAAUAUCCACAUGAUUUGAUUGUUUUAAAAUUUUACUUUCUUGAGUCUAAAGCACUCGGCACUAUGUCAAAGGACAUAAAAGUCAGCAAGGUGGGUAACAACAAAACAAUGUCUAGACGAAUAGAAUGUUCUUGUUUCCACUGAUAACUCAUCUAAUGAAAAGAAGAAAAGACGUGGAGAGCCAGAAACCUUAUUCCAUGAACUGCUACUAGGAAAUACAUAGAAAAUGUGGGUAAGGUUUAAAAAUCAGCAAACACCAGUCUAAUUGCUAGGGUAGAAAAUCUCACUACCAAUUAUUUGAUGAAACGUAAUAAUCUCAAUAAAAAAUAUAAAUGUAUAGAAACUUUACUUGGUGAAAUGAACUGAACUCUAGUAUCAUCAGAGUAGUUUCAACAAGAACGAUUAACAUAGUCAUUUCAAACCCACAUCACACUUACUCAUCCAAUUCCAAACUCUAGGAAUUAAAAUGGGAUGUAUCAGUGUUAACAAUUGAUUAAAAGAUCAACCGAUAAAAUGUGAACAACUUCACAGUUUGGCACGCAUACGGACGUCAAAAUUUCAACCAAUUAGUGAUGGUAAGUCCAUUUUAUCAUAUAGUAAGAAUAAGAGGCGAUUGAGUGGGAAAAUAGAGAAAUUGGGAACCUUGACGGAUUCGGCAUGGUCACCCAAGCUUCGAUAUUCGGGGUUGGACUUGGAUCCGCCUGCGUAGCCGACGGUAGUGCGUACAACGCCGGGCAAGCAGCCGAAGACGGCUUCGGAUCGCCAGAAGCUGCCAAGGGCGAAGACAGCCACCUGCAAGCGCUGUUGGUCGGAUUGGUCGAGGGCGGAUUGGGAGACUCGAUCGGGAAACCUGAUGCAGAGAGCAUUGUCGACGAGGAGGAGGAAUAGGACAAUUAACACUGAGAAGACUUUAUGGUGAUGAUACGAAGGGUUAUGGUUCAUCUCUGGAACUGCCAUUUUGGCCACUCGCCCAGGCGUUGCGUUUUGUCUCUGCCAAAAUACUACCAAGCGCACUGGAACGAGUUUUCGUUGUCGUUUUAGGAGGUGAACGUGACAAAAUGCCCCAACGCGCCUCCCACCCUCCACCUAUAUGUCGUUUUGAUUACGCACUUCUGAUUUCUCUCUAUCGUAUCAUAUCAUAGAUGAUAAUAUCAGGAAACAGACUAUUCUAAAUGUUGUACUCAGCCUCCCCAAAAAUGGAGAUUAGAAUAAUAAUCAACAAAAUAAAUUAUAUAAAAUGAUACAAGCAUUUUGUUUAGCAAUGCAACACAAAAAUUAGGUUUUUUAAUUGUUAUAUGACAUCACUCUACUAUGUUUUUAACAGGGAUAAUGAUACUUUGACACCCAAAAAGUGACAAACUUUUGACACUACCAAGUGUCGUUUUCGUAUUGGUCCAUCUAUGAAAUAAAGAAAAAGAACGAAAUGACAUGGAAAUUAGUGGGGAGAGGGGUUUCAGGGUGCGUUUCAGUUUUUCAAAUCAAAAUCUCAUUUCCACAUUUGGGAUUGAAAACCCUAGAGAGAGAAGCACCCUAGGCCAGCGAGAAGAGCUCAACGAAGUUUUUACCAUCACUUGCAAACAUGUGUUAUUCAACGUUAACCNGAGGACAUUCUGCUGCAGUACCGCCGAUUGGAACGUGCCCAGCCACCGAAAACAGUGUCCUGUGAAGAGGUUUUGGAGUUCGAGUGACUUCCCAUCGUUCAUCGGAAGCACCACCAUUGACCAUGAAAAUUGCCUUGAUUUUUAAUUGAACCAAUUUUUUUUAAGACUUAUUGGAUAUAGAAGUGUUGUUCAGCCAUUGAUGAUCACAAGUAUAUGGAUCUCCAUGGCCAAGGAACAAUUCCUUUUAAAACUCAAUGUGUAGAAUCAGACCUGGAAGUAGAGGCCAAAUAAGUGGAUAGUUCAGGCAAAGUUUCUGAACACAAGGGUUAACUAUGAAAAUAACCUUGAUUUGUAAUUGAACCAACUUUCUUUUAAGACUUAUUGGAUAUAGAAGUGUUGUUCAACCAUUGAUGAUCACAAGUAUAUGGAUUUACAUGGCCAAGUAACAAUUCCUUUUAAAACUCAAUAUGCAGAAACAGACCUGGGAGCAAAUGCCAACUAAGUGGAUAAUUUAGACUAAGUUUUUGCACGAGGAGGUCAUCUUUGAAUCUGACACUUAUUUUGAACUGAACAUUUAAUUUUUUACCAAUUUUAUUAAAUAAUAAUGAUUAUCUAUCAUUUAUUAACACAUUUAUAUCCAAGUCCAUCCUCAAGGAAACAUUUUUUUUUAAUGUUGGUGUAGAAACAGAACUGGUAGCAGAGACAAAAUAAGUAGGUAGGUUAGACUAAGUUUUUGCAUGAGGAGAUCAUCUUUGAAUCUAAGACUUAUUUUGAACUGCACAUUUAAUUUUUUACCAAUUAUAUUAAAUAAUUAUGAUUAUGUCAUUUAUUAACACAUUUAUAUCCAAGUCCCCAAGGAAACAUUUUUUUAAAAAGUGAUGGUGUAGAAACAUAACUGGUAGCAAAGGCAAAAUAAGUGGGCAGUUUAGUCUGAGUUUUUGCACGAGGAGGUCAUUUUAAAUCUGGCACCUUAAACACAUAUGAUGACAUACAACUCUUGGACAUUGCUCAACAAAGGUCAUAGAUAAAUAAUGCUCAUUGUUGUAUUGAACCAUGUCAUAAUGAAUACAAAAAAUAACAUAAUCAUCAUUGGUAUGUUCAAAUUACAUUCAACCACAUAAUAAGAUACAUUUCGUGAGGACUACAUUACAAACGUCCUACACAAUAAAUGGUCAUUAUUCUAUUCAAUCCUAUCAUAAUGAACACCAAAUAUAACACAUUGAUCAUUCUUAACUUCAAAUUUCACUAUCAAUAAAUGUAAGGAAUACAUUUCUUUGAUGAUUUGUAACAAAAAAUAUGUACAUUCAAACCUAAUCAUUACAAUUUUAAAUAGUGAUAAAAUAUUGCAUGUCCUUGUUGCACUGCUCCUUAUUUGCUGGACAAUUGCAGAUUCUCCCCUGAAAACUGUAUAAUCUUUUCUAGCUGUGAAAAUGGAUUCAUCAGGUUAUGUCCACAUUGGACUACUCUCGCCGUGAAAGGAAGGAAACACCAUGAGAGCAUAAAAGAAAUGAAGUAAAAAAUUAAUUAAAAAUACAUUACAUAAACUUUUGUAGUGUUAUCUCAAUGUGGUACCAAACAGUAGUCGACCAAAUAGGAUAAUUCAAAAUGUAGAACCUAAGUAUUAUGUGUCAAAUCUCCCAAACCAAAUUCAUACUCUCUUACUCAACUUUUCUACAACUUCACAUUCAUUUUUUCUUUUACUUAAAGAAAAGACUAUAUCACUUAACCUUUGUUAUUAAUAUUCUGAUAAUAAUAUUGUGACAUAUUUUUCCGUGUAUAAUAAUUACUUGAUAAUAACUAAAUUUCAGAGAGUAACGAGAAAUGUGUGAAAGAAUGAAUGAACAAAUAAAGUUUCUCUUGUAUUAAUAUGAAAAAAACUGAACUUAACUAACACAAUUCAAUUAUACUAAAAAUAAAUAACCCGAAAGUGCAAGAACCACUUCUACUUUCAGAAAAUACAUGUUUUUCCCUCUUUAGUCUUAGGAUGGAGGGAAGAAACAAUUGAGGUUGAAAGGGAGAAUGUAAAACUCUUCAUUUCGAUUGUCUCCUUUAAAUGCUCUGAACUUAGUCCAUCAUGGCAUUCCCCUAUCUUUGACAUUAUCCUUGUAGUCAAGAGUGUUGUCCAAAAACACAACAACUAUUUCUGAAUCAUGCAAAUAGAAGUAUAGAAUAACCAUAAUUAAGAACAUGACAAUAUAAGAAUUUUCCAAUUCAAUCAAUAAUAAUAAUAUUUCCAGCAAAUAUGAAAAGGAAUUAAAGAACUCAUCGUGCCGUGCCAUUCAUGUCUGCAUGGUAUACCUCACCGUAUGAACCUAUUAGAAAGAAAGUAUGAACAUAUAUAUUGAAAAAUUUUCAGAAACAAGUGGAAUACUUAAAGAACACUACCAGUCUCCCCAACUAUCACAUAUAAAAUGGUAUAGUGCAUGUAAAAAAUACAAAAUAUUGAAGAGUUAAUAAAGCUUGACAUAACCAUGCUUGCACAAAUAGAAAUAAAAAUAAAAUAAUCCAUUUAAAAAUAGGGAAGAUUAAUGCUAGAUUAGUAAUUGAUUUGCAUCAAUUGGGAGUCUCACUAAAUUAAAUAGUAAAUCAGAGUAAUGUCCUAUUUUUAGUAAAUAUAAUUUAAAAAUAGGGUGAAGAUUAAUGCUAGAUUAGUAAUUNAUUUGCAUCAAUUGGGAGUCUCACUAAAUUAAAUAAUAAAUCAGAGCAAUGUCCUAUUUUUAAUAAAUAUAAUUAAUAGUUUCAAGAAGAAAAUAAAUGCAAAUCAUGUAUAUUACCUAUACCAAUUCUUUCACCAAGAAAGAGAUCCUCCCAUGGUUACAAUCAGCAUUGUGAUCCCCAAAAUUGUGAAAGAUAUGUCAAAAUAAUCUAACAAUAACCAUAAAUCUCCAAAAAUUAUUUUGCGUGUAUAAAAAUUGUAACUUUGUACCCAAAAAACAGAACAAUCCAAAAGGAUAAAAAAAAUCAAAUAUUUAAAAUAAGUCAAAAUAACAUAACAAUAAGAAAGAAAUACCAAAACAAACUAAGGAUACUUACAAACAAUGCUUUUCGUCUUCAAUGGUGUUUUUCGCCUACUACGGUGAUUUCAAACGGCGCUUGCAGCGAAACGAACAACGGGAAGCUUCAAAACUCAUGUCAAUGGUGGUUUUGGUGUUGAACAAUGAUUUGAAAUAGCGAAAGGAACAAUGCUUCGAAACGACAUAAAGUUAGGCCCGAAUGACAGCAGAGACAGCUCCGGUGAAGGCGGCGGUUAUGGGUAGGAGAACAUUCUCUCUCGUGGAUUCUCUCUCUUUUCUUCUCUCUAGGAAAUUAAAUUUCCAAUUUUUGAAAUCCCUAAAAUGAAACCCGCGAACUUAAAAUCCUGCAACCCCAAAUCCUUUGCAUUUCCAUGUCAUUUAUUUUUUCUUUUAAUCUUUUCCAACUGGACCAAUCAGAACGUGACAUGUGGAUGGUGUAAAAAAUUUGUCAAAUAAAAGUGUCAAAGUAUCAUUACCCUUUUAACAGCAACUAUGUGCUACGUAUUUUAAGGUUUAAUCAUUCUGAUAGUCCUUAUUUUCAGUGAUUUUUUUCAAUUGGGUCCCUCAUUUUUUCUUUUUCUCAAUUGGGUCCCUAUUUUUGAAAAAUUGAAGCAAUUAGGUCACUGUCGUUAGUUCCGUACUAACACCGUUAAAAGGGUGACACGUGUCAGCUCGUGAUUUUUUUGAAUUUUUUAAAUAUAUUUUUAAUUAUUUUUAUUUUUAUUUUUUAGUUAUUUAAAAAAAAAUGCCACGUGUCAAGUUGACAUUGAGCCACGUGGCAAUGACAAUGUGAGAUGGCACUAGUAGUGCCACGUGUCACUAUCAGACCACGUGUCAUUAUUAGAUUUGUCUCAAUUUGGUCCUUAUAUUUUUAAUUUGUCUCAAUUUGGUCCCUAUAUUCUUAUUUUGUCUUAAUUUAGUCCUAAUUUUUUAAAAAACUAAACCAUUUUGUUUCUCUCCAAGUUCAAACAAAAUUUUAUUUGUAUAUAAAUCUUUACAAAGAAAUUUAUACAAAUUAAUUUUUUUAUUAGAAAAAUAAAAAAAAUUACAAACUAACAUAUGACACAUUUUUAUUUAUAUAGUAGUAAAGAAAUCAUUUAACCUAAAUAAUAUGAAUGAGUAACCUAUAAAAGUUAACAUCNNNNNNNNNNNNNNNNNNNNNNNNNNNNNNNNNNNNNNNNNNNNNNNNNNNNNNNNNNNNNNNNNNNNNNNNNNNNNNNNNNNNNNNNNNNNNNNNNNNNNNNNNNNNNNNNNNNNNNNNNNNNNNNNNNNNNNNNNNNNNNNNNNNNNNNNNNNNNNNNNNNNNNNNNNNNNNNNNNNNNNNNNNNNNNNNNNNNNNNNNNNNNNNNNNNNNNNNGUCUCAAUACUUCCUCAACAAUUCAUAAAAAAUUUCUAGAAUUAAAUAUUUCGAUUCGAAAUACAUCAUUACUAAUAAUUUGCUUAACAAAAACAAAUUUAAAGACAAAAAUUUGGAAAAUGUACAUACCGUAUUUUAUUUGGAAAGGAACAAAUUUUUUUAAAUUUUUAAAAAAAUUAGGACUAAAUUGAGACAAAAUAAAAAUAUAAGGACCAAAUUGAAACAAAAUAAAAAUACAGGGACCAAAUUGAAACAAAUGCAAUGACAUGUGGUUUGACAGUGACACGUGGCACUGUCAGUGCCACCUCACAUUGUCAUUGCUACGUGGCACAAUGUCAACUUGACACGUGACAAAUUUUAUUUUUAAAAGAAAAAGAUAAAAAUAAAAAUAAUUAAAAAUAUAUUUAAAAGUUUCAAAAAAAUCACGAGCUGACACGUGUCACCCUUUUUAACGGUGUUAGUACGAAACUAACGACAAUAACCUAAUUGCUUCAAUUUUUCAAAAAUAAGGACCCAAUUGAGAAAAAGAAUAAAUGAGAGACCUGAUUGAAAAAAGUCAUUGAAAAUAGGAACUAUUAGAAUGAUUAAACUUUUUUUCUAAAACUCCAUUUGUAUUUCCUUACACUUUUCAUACAAUAAUGAGAUCAUUCUCGAGUUUAAAUGAGAAAAAGAAAAAAAGAUCCCCUUCUGGUAUAGAAAUACAUGUCAUAGUUUGAAGUAACUUUGAAACUGAUCAAAUCUAGCACCAAAAACUCUCGUAAGAGUCUUGUUUUUUUUUUUUUAAGGAAAACAUUUCUUUUGGUAUGUAAUAUAGAAAUAGAAAGUAGUAAAAAAUAUCACACUUGUUACUAUUUCGCAUAUUUUAUUUUUCACUUAAAUAUAAAAAUACAAAAUAUUGAAGAAAGUGAUAUAGUCUUUUUCCACAACAAAUGUAUCAGUAACUUUAUAAUUAUAUAACAUCUGAUUCAAAUUUAUUUAUAAUUUUUUAAAAAUGACAAGUUUUCCUUCUUUAAGUUACUUUCUCUUCAUAUUUUUUUUUUCCACUUUAUUCAUCUCUCUGUCCGCACUUUCUUUCAUUUCCUUCCUUACCAACAAAGGUAGAACAACAGGAUGCCACCUAAAUUAAUUACUGUUAGAAAACAAAUACAGAUUUUAUCUUCAUUAAGAGGGUUACUUGUAUCAUCAAAGAAACUUGCAAUUGUGUUGAUUAUAUAUGUACAUACACAUAGCAUGCUCAUUAUAAAACCUUUAAACGUUUUUACUUAGCCUGAUUCACAUUUAAAGCGAAACGUACACAACAAAGCAUGGGUGGUAAUAUUUUAUAAUCAAUCACCUCUCAAUCUAUACACAUCAUGAAAAGCUUAAUAGUUGGAUCCAAAAGAAGCUAGAUUUAAGGUAUUCAAUAAUCAUCAAAACCGCCUGAGUGAAUUUAUGAAGUAAAUUAUUAUGAUGAUAUAUUGGAUUCUAUUAAAAAUAAUGAAUUGUGAAUCGCAUCGUUAAGUUCUAGGAACCAGUGAGGCCUAACAUGAGGUUAUUUAGAGCGAGCUCAAUAAAAGAGAAUAAGAAGUACUUGAAAUAUUAGUUGAUAACCACGGCAACUCCGAAAAGCUAGAAGGAAUCCGAAACAAACCCCUAUUGCCACCAGAACAAUAACAGUGCCAUCAUGCAGCUAUAGGACAUGUAACUCAAACAAAUAUAAAUGACCGUCUAUUAAAAACUCCAUGUUUUGUGCAGAAAAUGGUUCUCAAAAGAGAGGACAAACAGAUUAACAUAACAAUCUAUCAGAGAAAGAAAAACAAAAUUGAAAAACGAGCAAUCAAAUAUACCAAUCCUAACAACACUCUCCUUAAGCCUUAUCAGCCUUGGCAGCAGUUGCAGCAGCUUGUCCUCUGAGACGNNNNN
rnacentral:lncRNA from 1 species